CUUGUUUUGAAGUUGAUAAAUUGGGAGUAUCGUACCUAUAUAAACCAAUGAAAAAAAACACAUCUCAGUGAUGAAUUACAUGAUAAUGUGGACUCCAGCAAGCGAAGGAAAACGUGAUUGUCUGGUAAAUCACAUAAGAUUGGUUGCAUGCUACUGAUGCAAGUCCAGAAUUAUCUUUGAUCAAGAGAUUACAAAAUCAUAAAACUGAUUUACAUGUCUUUAUUUGAAAUAUUCUUGUCUGCAACGUCCUCUUGCAAAGCUUGAUUUUUUUUCCACCUACAAAAAUUAGAAAAUUUUGUUU